GGGCAUGGCAGCCGUCAAAUAACAUAGCAGUCAAGCGGAUUGAUUAAGAAACUUUGUUCUUCUGAUUUUAUCGCCGCAGAGGUGAGUAUCACGUGUGCGACCCACGUCGGAAAUAGUGGAUAACUCCACCGAAACCCGGGCUAAUACCCAAGAAUCCUUUUUGCUUCUCGGGAAGAUAUUCUAAAGGCGGCUUCCGCUGUGCCUACUACAUGGGCCCCCGGCGUACUAUCUAUUUUGUAUGGUAAUGGCCUACCCAGGCGACAAUACGUAUCCCACCUGAGAGGGGGAUCGCGCCACACUGGGACAGAGACACCGCCCCCACACCCACGGGAGGCGCCACUAUGGAAUCUUCCCCACUGGACAAAAGUCUGAUGGAGCACCGCCCCGUGAGUGAGAAAAGUUUUCUGAUCUUAAAACUCUGUUGUAAGGGAAAAAAACGUACGAGAGUAUCUGCUCUCACCUUGACAGUACCUUAUAAAAAAACCCCGGCUAACUACGUGCCACCACCCCCGGUAAUACAUAUGUGGCAAGCGUUUUCCGGAAUUAUUGGGCGUAUAGCGCGCGCACGCGGUUCUUUAAGUCUGAUGUGUAAACCCACGGCUCUACCCUGGACGGUCAUUGGAAACUGGAGAACUUUAUUUCCCAGAAAAGAGAGCGGAAUUCCCCCUGUAGCGGUGAAAUGCCUUGAAAAGUGUAUAUAUAUGUGGAGACACACCAGUGGAGAGGGGGGUCUCUCUGGGUGUGUAAGAGACGUGUGGGGCGAGAAAGCGUGGAGAGAAACACAGGAUAGAAUACCUUGGUUGUCCACGCUGUAAACGAUGAGUGUUAAGUGUUAGGGGUUUUCCGCCCUUUAGUGCGGCAGUUACCGCAUUAACCAUUCGCCUUGGGGAGUACGACGCCAAGGUUGAAAUUCAAAGAAAUUGAGGGGGCCCCCCACAACCGGUGGAGCAUGUGGUUUAUUUGGAAGCAACGGGAAGACCUUUACCAGUUCUGAACAUCCUAUUGACCGGCUAAAAAUUAGGGUUUCCCUUUGGGCAACAGUGACAACUGGUGCAGCAUGGUUGUCAUCAGCUCUUGUGAUAAGAUGUGGGAAUAACUCCAACAAGGAGCACCACCAUUGUUAUUAGUCACCACCAUUCAGUGGGCCAUUCUAAGGGGACGCCCGGGGCCAAACGGGAGAAAGGGGGGGAGAACUUAAAUUCUUCAUCCCCUUUAUACCUUGGGUACCCAACUAGUUCAAAGGGCGGAAACAAAGGGUGGCAAACCCGGGAGGGGGACCAAUUCCACACAAAAUCGUUCUCAGUUCGGAUUGCAGGCUGCAACUCGCCUACAUGAAGCCGGAAUCGCUAGUAAUCGUGGAUCAGCAUGCCACGGUGAAUACGUUCCCGGGCCUUGUACACACCGCCCGUCACACCACGAGAGUUUGAACACCCGAAGUCGGUGAGGAACCUUUAUCAUGAGUCUGCUUCUAUUUUUGGUUUCCUCGCGGC
rnacentral:rRNA from 1 species